AGAGUUUGAUCAUGGCUCAGAAUGAACGUUGGCGGCGUGGAUUAGGCAUGCAAGUCGAACGAGAACCUUCCUUCGGGGAGGGGAAAGUGGCAAACGGCGUAGUAAGGCGUAGGUGACGUGCCCUCGGGUCUGGGAUAGCCACGGGAAACUGUGGGUAAUACCGGAUGACCCUGCUGGGAUUGAAAACCGGCAGGCAAAGGUGAGAUUCCGCCCGGGGAGCGGCUUGCGUGGUAUUAGCUAGUUGGUGAGGUAACGGCUCACCAAGGCGACGAUGCCUAGGGGGUGUGAGAGCAUGGCCCCCACGACUGGGACUGAGAUACUGCCCAGACACCUACGGGUGGCUGCAGUCGAGAAUCUUCGGCAAUGGGCGCAAGCCUGACCGAGCGACGCCGCGUGUGGGAUGAAGGCCCUUGGGUUGUAAACCACUGUCAGAGGGGAUGAAAUGCAGGUGGGCUAUCCUGCCUGCUUGACAUAGCCUCAGAGGAAGCACGGGCUAAGUUCGUGCCAGCCGCCGCGGUAAUAC
rnacentral:rRNA from 1 species